GGGAGGGCCUGUGUGCUAGCAGCAUGUUUAACUUUGGCUCCAGAGGCAGCCAGCGGCUCGAGCUGUGUGGUGGAAGGUUCCAGACUGAAGUAAAAAAGGGGGUUACCAGACUAGAUGGAGCUACACUGGUAGAAAGUGCUACAUAACUGUACAACUAUUAAUCCCUGAGUCAUCAACUUGUGGGUUUUCCACCAAGGAAUGGUACAAACUGACACAAUGAGAUUGGAGUGGGAAAUGACAACAUGCUGAAGAAUCCCUAGUAAAUCGUUUUCUGACAUCCAAUAAAGAUGCAUAACAUUGCAACUAAUUUUUUUUAACUUCUUAAGUGGAAAAAUUAGACUAUCUAUUCAUCACACAGUAUUUGAGUAUUAGGAAAAAUGUGCAUCGAGUUUUCAUUAUCAUGCCUGCCACUGAAAAUAUCCUGUUAUGACUGGAAUAAUCUGAUGAACAACACUAUAUUUGUGAUUUAAAAUGUUUCCAUUCCCCCUCCAAAAAAAACUUUAAUAUUGUAUAUGGUUUAGUGGAUGAU